UGCCAGCCGCCGCGGUAAUACGUAGGGGGCAAGCGUUGUCCGGAUUUAUUGGGCGUAAAGCGCGCGCAGGCGGUGGGUUAAGUUGUGGGUAAAAGGCAUUGGCUCAACCAAUGUAAGCCUGCAAAACUGGCUCACUUGAGUGCAGGAGAGGGGAGUGGAAUUCCCGGUGUAGCGGUGGAAUGCGUAGAUAUCGGGAGGAACACCAGUGGCGAAGGCGACUCUCUGGCCUGUAACUGACGCUGAGGCGCGAAAGCGUGGGUAGCGAACAGGAUUAGAUA
rnacentral:rRNA from 1 species